rnacentral:rRNA from 1 species
UAGCUAGUUGGUGAGGUAAAGGCUUACCAAGGCGACGAUCUGUAGCGGGUCUGAGAGGAUGAUCCGCCACACUGGAACUGAGACACGGUCCAGACUCCUACGGGAGGCAGCAGUGGGGAAUUUUGGACAAUGGGGGCAACCCUGAUCCAGCCAUGCCGCGUGAGUGAAGAAGGCCUUCGGGUUGUAAAGCUCUUUCGGCCGGGAAGAAAUCGCAUGGGUCAAUACCCUGUGAGGAUGACGGUACCGGAAUAAGAAGCACCGGCUAACUACGUGCCAGCAGCCGCGGUAAUACGUAGGGUGCGAGCGUUAAUCGGAAUUACUGGGCGUAAAGCGUGCGCAGGCGGUUUUGUAAGACAGGCGUGAAAUCCCCGGGCUUAACCUGGGAACUGCGUUUGUGACUGCAAGGCUAGAGUACGGCAGAGGGGGGUGGAAUUCCACGUGUAGCAGUGAAAUGCGUAGAGAUGUGGAGGAACACCAAUGGCGAAGGCAGCCCCCUGGGUCGAUACUGACGCUCAUGCACGAAAGCGUGGGUAGCAAACAGGAUUAGAUACCCUGGUAGUCCACGCCCUAAACUAUGUCAACUAGGUGUUGGGUGGGUAAAACCAUUUAGUACCGUAGCUAACGCGUGAAGUUGACCGCCUGGGGAGUACGGCCGCAAGGUUAAAACUCAAAGGAAUUGACGGGGACCCGCACAAGCGGUGGAUGAUGUGGAUUAAUUCGAUGCAACGCGAGAAACCUUACCUACCCUUGACAUGCCAGGAACUUGCCAGAGAUGGCUUGGUGCCCGAAAGGGAGCCUGGACACAGGUGCUGCAUGGCUGUCGUCAGCUCGUGUCGUGAGAUGUUGGGUUAAGUCCCGCAACGAGCGCAACCCUUGUCGUUAAUUGCCAUCAUUUGGUUGGGCACUUUAACGAGACUGCCGGUGACAAACCGGAGGAAGGUGGGGAUGACGUCAAGUCCUCAUGGCCCUUAUGGGUAGGGCUUCACACGUCAUACAAUGGUCGGUACAAAGGGUUGCCAAGCCGCGAGGCGGAGCCAAUCCCAGAAAGCCGAUCGUAGUCCGGAUUGCAGGCUGCAACUCGCCUGCAUGCAGUCGGAAUCGCUAGUAAUCGUGGAUCAGCAUGUCACGGUGAAUACGUUCCCGGGUCUUGUACACACCGCCCGUCACACCAUGGGAGCGGGUUCCGCCAGAAGUAGGUAGCCUAACCGCAAGGGGGGCGCUUACCACGGCGGGGUUCGUGACUGGGGUGAAGUCGUAACAAGGUAGCCGUAGGGGAACCUGCGGCUG